rnacentral:tRNA from 1 species
GGGCCCGUAGCUCAGUUGGUAGAGCAACGCACUUUUAAUGCGUGGGUCGCAGGUUCAACUCCUGCCGGGCUCA